rnacentral:rRNA from 1 species
AAUGAACGUUGGCGGCAUGGAUUAGGCAUGCAAGUCGUGCGCGAAACGUAGCAAUACGUGGAGAGCGGCGAAAGGGAGAGGAAUAUGUGGGAACCUACCUUCGGGCCUGGAAUAGCGGCGGGAAACUGCCGGUAAUGCCAGAUAACGUCCCCGGACCCAAGGUGUGAUUCCGCCUGGAGAUGGGGCCACAUCCUAUCAGCUUGUUGGGGUGGUAACGGCGCACCAAGGCUAAGAGGGGUAUGGGGUGUGAGAGCAUGCCCCCACUCACUGGGACUGAGACACUGCCCAGACACCUACGGGUGGCUGCAGUCGAGAAUCUUCGGCAAUGAGCGCAAGCUUGACCGAGCGAUGCCGCGUGCGGGAUGAAGGCCCUCGGGUUGUAAACCGCUGUCGUAGGGGAAUAACGGUCGAUGGGUUCUCUCAUCGAUUUGAAUGAUCCUAGGAGGAAGGACGGGCUAAGUUCGUGCCAGCAGCCGCCGUAAUAC